rnacentral:rRNA from 1 species
UGUCGGGACCCGAAAGAUGGUGAACUAUGCCUGAAUAGGGCGAAGCCAGGGGAAACUCUGGUGGAGGCUCAUAGCGGUUGUGACGUGCAAAUCCAUCGUAAAAUUUGGGUAUAGGGGCGAAAGACUAAUCGAACCAUCUAGUAGCUGGUUCCCUCCGAAAUUUCCCUUAGGAUAGCUGCAAUCGGUUAUCAGUUUUAUCAGGUAAAGCGAAUGAUUAGAGGCCUCAGGGGUGGAACGUCCUUGACCUAUUCUCAAACUUUAAAUGGGUAAGAGCCCAGUGUUGCUUAAUCGAACACUGGCGUUGAAUGACGGUUGUUAGUGGGCCAUUCUGGGUAAGCUGGACUGGCGAUGCGGGAUGAACCGAACGUUGAGUUAAAGUGCCUCACUGCCCGCUCACCUAGAUCCCACAAACGGUGUUGGUUCAUUUUGACAGCAGGACGGUGGCCAUGGAAGUCGGAAUCCGCUAAGGAGUGUGUAACAACUCACCUGCCGAAUGAACUAGC